rnacentral:lncRNA from 1 species
UUUUUUGUUUUGAAACACACACACACACACACACAAUUACCCUCCCUCACACGCACACACCCCCUGCGCACGCACACGUCUUUCCGGAAUUCCUUUUUUCUCAAGCCCUGCCUUGGGAUGGCUCGUUAAAGGUUGAGAAGGUGGAGAAUAGCACUCCGAAGCAUCUCUUUGAGCUAAAGAAGAGACAGUUGCAGUCUGCCUCUUCACAACGAAUGUACCAGCGCAAUACUGUGACCUGGUUAGCCGAGUGGGCUUCCAGAGGGAGUUUGCACCACCUGACGAGAAAAAUCAUGGAGAGGGGAUCUACUUCAGUAGCAGCAUGCAUGGGACAGAGAAGCUGUGGAGGGGCUUGGCUGAUGAAGAGUACCUGUACUUCGUUGCAGCGCAGGUGCUGACAGGGAAGUCAUUGGCACACCAGGUCUUAUUGUGCCACCGCAGACCCCCGUUGGAGACCCCCUAACCCUGUAUGACAGCGUGGAAGGGGGCGUAGACACCUGUGUCAUUUUCAAUGGUCACCAAGCCCUACCUGAAUAUCUGAUCAGCUGCACAAAAACAACUUCAACCCAUAAGUUCUGAUAACGAUGAAGUCCUAUGAAAUAUAGAUCUUAAUUUCAUUCAGUGAUUGUCUACUCUAUAGUCUAUGCAGAAAAACUGGAUUUGAUACACCAAUAUAGGAAAUUCUGACAAUUGCAUCACAUGUAUAUUGUUUUUUGAUUUGCCAUGGUUUAGUUUAAUUAUUUGCCUCCGUAUUAGCACUACGGCUUCAGUUUGCAGCCAACUAAAUUUUAUUGCAGUUUGAAUGGGUAUGUUAUGAAUUUAGCAGUGGGUUUGCAUGUAUACUGAACAAAAAUAUAAACACAACAAUUUCAAGGAUUUGACUGAGUUACAGUUCAUAUAAGGAAAUCAGUCAAUUGAAAUAAAUUAAUUAGGCCCGAAUCAUCUACAGAUUUCACAUGACUGGGAAUACAGAUAUGCAUAUGUUGGUCACAGAUACCUUAAAGUAUGGGGAUGGAUCAGAAAACCAGUCAGUAUCUGCUGUGACCAUCAUCUGCCUCAUGCAGCGUGACACAUCUGCUUUGUAUAGAGUUGAUUGUGGAAUGUUGUCCCACUCCUCUUCAAUGACAUGUUCCCCCACACAACAGCUAGCAACCGCAAACUAUGUGAUACAGGUUGGAAAGUCGACACACUUUCUGUACAGAUGAAGCCAAUGCUUCUAUGCAAAAGAGGUUUUGACAUUUAAAUCCAGUCAUUGUAUAUACAGUGCAUUCGGAAAGUAUUCAGACCCCUUGACUUUUUCCACAUUUUGUUACAUUACAGCCUUAUUCUAAAAUUGAUUGAAUUGUUUUUCCCAUCAAUCUACACACAAUAACCCAUAAUGACCUGAAGUAUCACGUUUACAUAAGUAUUCAGACCCUUUACUUUGUUGAAGCACCUUAUUGCAGCGAUUUACAGCCUCGAGUCUUCUUUGGUAUAACACUUCAAGCUUGGCCCGGUUGUAUUUGGGGAGUUUCUCCCAUUCUUCUCUGCAGAUUCUCAAGCUCUGUCAAGUUGGAUAGGGAGCGUCACUGCACAGCUAUUUUACUGUCUCUCCAGAGAUGUUUGAUCUGGUUCAAGUCUGGGCUCUGGCUGGGCUACUCAAAGACAUUCAGAAACUUAUCCCGAAUCCACUCAUGCGUUGUCUUGGCGGUGUGCUUAGUGUGAGGUCCUGUGAGCUCUGGAGCAGGUUUUCAUCAAGGAUCUCGCUCUACUUUGCUCCGUUCAGCCUGACUAGUCUCCCAGUCCCUGUUGCUGAAAAACAUCCCCACAGCAUAAUGCUGCCACCACCAUGCUUCCCCGUAGGGAUGGUGCCUGGUUUCCUCCAGACGUGAUGCUUGAAAUUCAGGCCAAAGAGUUCAAGCUUGUCUUCAUCAGACCAGAGAAUCUUGUUUCUCAUGGUCUGAGAGUCUGUAGGUGCCUUUUGGUAAACUCCAAGCGGUCUGUCAUGUGUCUUUUACUGAGGAGCUUCCGUCUGGCCACUCUACCAUAAAGGCCUGAUUGGUGGAGUGCUGCAAAUAUGGUUGUCCUUCUGGAAGGUACUCCCAUCUCCACAGAAAAGCUCUGUCAAAGUGACCAUCGGGUUGUCGGUAACCUCCCUGACCAAGGCCCUUUCCUCCGAUUGCUCAUUUUGGGUGGGUGGCCAGCUCUCAGAAGAGUCUUGGUGGUUCCAAACUUCCUCCAUUUUAGAAUGAUGGAGGCCACUGUGAUCUUGGACCGUCAAUGCUGCAGAAAUGUUUUGGUACCCUUUCCCAGAUCUGUGCCUCAACACAAUCCUGUCUCUGAGCUCUACGGACAGUUCUUUCAACCUCAUGGCUUGGUUUUUGCUCUGACAUGCACUGCCAACUGUGGGACCUGAUAUAGGCCGGUGUGUGCUUUUCCACAUCAUGUCCAAUAAAUUGAAUUUACCGCAAGUGGACUCCAAGUUGUAGAAACAUCUCAAGGAUGAAUCGAUGAAAACAACUGGAUGCACCCGAGCUCAAUUUUUAGUCUCAUAGCAAAAGGUCUGAAUACUUAGUCCCAGUCAAAAGUUUGGACACACCUACUCAUUCAAGAGUUUUUCUUUAGUUUGACUAUUUUCUACAUUGUAGAAUAAUAGUGAAGACAAACUGUGACAUAACACUCAACCAGCUUCAUGAGGCAGUCAUCUGGAAUGCAUUUCAAUUAACAGGUGUGCCUUAGUUAAUGGAAUUUCCUUCUUAAUGCGUUUCAGACAAUCAGUUGUUGUGACAAGGUAGCGGUGGUAUACAGAAGACAGCCCUAUUUGGUAAAAGACCAAGUCCAUAUAAUGGCAAGAACAGCUCAAAUAAGCAAAGAGAAACAACCAUCAUUACUUGAAGGCAUUGGUCAGUCAAUCUGGAUUUUUUUUCAACUUUGAAAGUUUCUUCAAGUGCAGUCGCAAAAACCAUCGAGCACUAUGAUGAAACUGGCUCUCAUGAGGACUGCCACAGGAAAGGAAGACCCAAUGUUACCUCUGCUGCAGAGGAUAAGUUCAUUAGCGUUACCAGCCUCAGAAAUUGCAGUCCAAAUAAAUGCUUCAGAGUUCAAGUAACAGACACUUCUCAACAUCAACUGUUCAGAGGAGACUGCGUGAAUCAGGCCUUAAUGGUUGAGUUGCUGCAAAGAAAUUACUGCUAAAGGACACCAACAAGAAGAGAAUUUUAUUCAAUUUUAGAAUAAGGCUGUAAGGUAACAAAGUGGGAAAAGUCAGGUCUGAAUACUUUCCGAAUGCACGGUAUACUUAAUAUGAUCAGACCUACAUAUGUAUAUAUGCAAGAG